AAGUCGUAACAAGGUCUCCGUUGGUGAACCAGCGGAGGGAUCAUUACCAGAGUGCCCUAGGCUCUCCAACCCAUUGUGAACUUACCAAACGUUCCCUCGGCGGGCUCAGCGCGCGGUGGCCUCCGGGCCUCCGGGCGUCCGCCGGGGAAAACCAAACCCUGAUUUAAUCGUAUUUCUCUGAGGGGCGAAAGCCCGAAAACAAAAUGAAUCAAAACUUUCAACAACGGAUCUCUUGGCUCUGGCAUCGAUGAAGAACGCAGCGAAAUGCGAUAAGUAAUGUGAAUUGCAGAAUUCAGUGAAUCAUCGAAUCUUUGAACGCACAUUGCGCCCGCCGGCACUCCGGCGGGCAUGCCUGUCCGAGCGUCAUUUCAACCCUCAGGCCCACCCUUCCGGGGGAGCGGGCCUGGUGCUGGGGAUCGGCGGCCCUCGGGGCCCCCGUCCCUCAAAUUCAGUGGCGGUCGCGCCGCAGCCUCCCCUGCGUAGUAGCACAACCUCGCACCGGAGAGCGGAACGACCACGCCGUGAAACCCCCAAUUUUUUUAAGGUUGACCUCGGAUCAGGUAGGAAUACCCGCUGAACUUAA
rnacentral:rRNA from 1 species